ACCGAAGCUGGAUUCGCUAGUAAUCGCGCAUCAGCCAUGGCGCGGUGAAUACGUUCCCGGGCCUUGUACACACCGCCCGUCAAGCCAUGAAAGCCGGGGGGCGCCUGAAGUCCGUGACCGCGAGGGUCGGCCUAGGGGUGAAACCGGUGAUUGGGGCUAAGUCGUAACAAGGUAGC
rnacentral:rRNA from 1 species